rnacentral:rRNA from 1 species
UGGGAUGACGUCAAAUCAUCAUGCCCCUUAUGGCCCAGGGCUACACACGUGCUACAAUGGGCGGUACAAAGGGUAGCGAUCCCGCGAGGAGGAGCCAAUCCCAAAAACCGUCCCAAGUUCGGAUUGGAGUCUGCAACUCGACUCCAUGAAGUUGGAAUCGCUAGUAAUCGCGGAUCAGCAUGCCGCGGUGAAUACGUUCCCGGGCCUU